GCCGACGCGGGCGGUUAAGGUCCGAGUAUUUUGUUUAUAGUCCACUUUGUCCCGUUCGCCUCCGGUUAUGCAUUCUGGCCAUUUGAAAGUUGAAAAAAAAUCAAGACUUGGCUGGGAGACACCAUCCAGAAUGUGUCCAUUCCAUCGUAGUCAGUUUCGGAGGAGUCUUUCUGGAGCUGGCUGCAAGAAGAGCAUUGUUCUAAGAUUCUCCUGUUGAAUACGGAUGGCGUGCCAGAGACGUUGCUGAUGGAAUUUCUGUUGUGCCCUUAUCUCUCAUCUUUUCUUCUGUCUCCAUUCUAUUCUUGGAGAAAGUGAAGCAAUUCCUCAUGAAGUUGAUGCAUGGAAUGGGGUCAUCGAUUUAUAACAAAGGACUGGAUAAAUGAGUGUUAUAAAACUUGAUGAUGACAAGGUUAUGGGGUGAUUUAACCAAGGCAGUUGGAAGUAAUGAAGUGAUUAACAGGGUAGCUUGGGAUAUUAUUACUAUUUUAGUAACAAGAGGAUGUAUUUGUAAAAUUUAAAAGACACGAAAAGUAAAUUCAAGAAAAACAUCUCCAUGUUUAUUAGGAUAGGAGGUCAUGGUUGUGAUGCAGAGAAAGAGCCAACAUUAGGAUUAAAAAGGAA